GGCUGGUCCGAAGGUAGUGAGUUAUCUCACUUGAUUGUUCAGUCAGUUACAGAUUGAACUCCUUGUUCUACUACUUUCCCCCUUCUCACUACUGUACUUGACUAGUCUUGA
rnacentral:Y_RNA from 1 species